CAUUAGUAUUUUCUAUAUGAACAUUAAUAUGUCCCUGUCACAGCCCACUAUCCCAAUGACGGGUUAACCGGGGUUAUGACUUAGGGUGAACAAUAAGAAAUGGAAAUGGACAAUUACUUAACAUUAAAGUAUAUGGAGAUGUCACUCAUAGAUAAAAUGCUAGGAUCAUAUAUGAUUAUUUGGAUACUUAUAAAACACAUACAUAAAUGAGAACUGAUUAAGGUGGGUUACCCAAUAACACGUAUCCCAACUUCAUAACAUAGAGCUAUCCUAAUCAAAGUAUUUUGCAGCGGAAAACGUGUGAGAUAUACAUAUGAAGAUGUAUACUCAAGGUUACAUUUCUUGAAAUGAUCAAAGGAACACCUGCUCAACACAAUUCCAUUCCAUCAGCUGCUCAACCUGCACAUUUAGAAAUACAUGCAGGGCUGAGUAUAAAAAUACUCAGUGGGCACGUAUGCCUAAGUAUAAAAAUACAUGCUUCAAAACUGUAAAUUGUCAUGCCAUCAUAAACAGUACAGCAAGGGAGUUUUUCGCUAAAAGGCCCAAGCUUACUAAAUUCAUUUGUGAUUCUUAAAGUUCGACUGCAGUCUAUAUUCUCUUGUAAUCUAUCAUAUCUGGAACUUUGUGCCGGAGAGGUGGCCACCUCUCACGGUCACUUGACCGGCCAACCCGCUAGAUGACUCACGGUCACUGGUGUACACUAGCCCUGGCAGGAUAGCUAUCAACUGCUCAGGACCCGAAUUCGAUUGCAUAAUAACUGGCAAAGCCAUAUCAGAUAGAUAUCAUACCAAACAUUGAAACAUUUAUGGCAAGACAACAUUUGAAAUAAUUUUCAGUUCAAAGAUUUUGCAAUGAAAUAACUGUUCAAACAUAACAUUAAACUCAUUUGAUAUAUAUGAAAGUAACCCACCUGAUUAGGCAAUGCCUGUCGUUUAUUCUUAACUCUAAAUCGGUAUAGCAGUGUUACUCCUCACGAUCCACAAAGCCUACAAGAAAUCUAUUCUUAAUAGGUCUCGUGAAGCUAACUUAAAGUCUUAGUGGGUGCACUUAACUACUAUGAUUUAUCACGCCGGGUUUUCAAAAAUUUAAUGAAUAAUAAUUGAAAACUAAAAUUCUUGAGUUAAGGACACCAACAAUAUCCUUACUCGAUUUUCUUUAAUAAUUGGAUUUAUAAAUAGAACCAAUUAAAUCAUGAGUACUUUUAUUGCAUGAUGCAAAUGCAUACUUAGCAUAAGGUAAGUAAUUACUUAAAAUAUGCACAUAAUAAUAGUAUAAUAUUAUUAUGCAAAUCAUUCAUUAAAUAAAUUAAUUAAACUGAUUAAUAGUCCAAUUAAUUAAAAUAGGGCAGCCCAAUUAAAAGGGCCCAGCUUUAAAAAAUUCGCAGCCCAUAUUGAAAAUAUAGAUCAGCCUCAAUCGAAAUAAAUCGGCCCAAGAGUUUCAAUUGAAAAUAGGCCCAUCUUCUCUAAACAAAACACAACACAAUAAAAUAACAAUUUCAGCCCAAACUUUAGCCCAAACCUAUUCUAACACAAAACCCUUCCCACUUCUCCUUCACAGAAUCACAGCUGCGCCUCUUCAUUCUCCAAUCUCUCUCGGCUCUCUUCCCAGAAAUCCCGCCGCCGCGGAAGCUCGCCGGAGGAGCAGCAGCGAUAAGCCGCCACCACCAGCUCCUUCUGACCUCCGUUCUCCCUUCUCUCUCCGACAACGACGGUGACCGCUGCCUGGCCUCCCUCGUUCUCAGUCAGACGGUAGCAUCAAGGCCACCGCCGACCGAAGACCCUCUCCUUUUUUUUCUCGCUUGACUCCGGCAGACAGCAGCAGUUCACAACCGCCGCCGUCACCUCCCUGACUCAACUCACUCAUAGUUCGCUCUCUCUGUGAGAACAGAGCACAACACCCAGCCCUCGCAUCUCUCUCUCUCUUGGUCGAACAGCGGCGAAAAACGCCCGCCAUCGCCGUCAUCCCCUUCCCAACUCACAGCCAUCUCCGACCUCCGGCAUCAACUGACGACCCCCGACUCCAAUCGCACACAAACCACUCCAAAAUUGAAGAUAAAUUUAAGGCUUCAAAACUCAUUUUAUUCUAUUUUCAUUUAAUCAGGCUUCAUAUAUAUAUAUAGAUGUACACAGAUCAUGAAUGCAUAUAUGUUUUCGUAUAACAGUUAUUGUAGAUGAAUGUGUGUAUGGGUGUGAUUCUUGAUUGGGCAGCCGAAGUUUGUGUGUUCUGAAAUAAAUGGAGAAUACUAUAAAAACAAGUAGUGAAGUUUUUAAAAGAUGAAACCUUGUGAUGGUUCUUUGAGUUGGCUGAGGCUUCAGUGAUCUGCAAAGCAUUUCUUGGACUGAUUGUUGUGGGAAUUAUGAAUGGAGAAUACAGGAAUUCAGUUAAUUAUUGCAGAAGUUUGGUAAAUGAAUUGUGAACGUGGGUGAUGGAAAUAAGUGGGGGUAAGUGGGAGUAGUGGGAGGGAAAGUGGGAAGAAAGGUGGAGGAGUUAGUGGUGGGAGUAGGAAUAAAAAAUAAAAUAAAAUAAGAUAAAAUAAAAUAAAAAGUCUUCCAAGUUGUACUAUGAAAACUGUAAUAAUACUUCAUGGUUCGCUAAAUAAAUAGCUCGUGAAAAUACUUGAAUGCUAAAUUAAAUAAAUAUGAAAUGCAUAUAAUUUAAUUACUAAAUUUACAAAUGCUUUUGUAAAUCAUUUUUGUUGGAAUUAAAAUAAAUUCUUUUUCUCAAUCUGGC
rnacentral:lncRNA from 1 species